UUAAAUGUGCUUGAUAAGUAGCUACAUAAAUAUAACUUUUUUAAAAAACAUUUGUUUCAUUUGUCAUAUGGUCAGGGAGAAAUUCAACAGCAAACAACAAAAGUACUGUAUAAUGUUUUCUAACCCCUGGAAUUAGCUCUGGUGUUCUAGAUAAUAUAAUUGCCAUGACUAUAAACUAGUACCCUUACCUUCUACACAUUUCUCUAAACCAUUUUAAAGAGCGGGGAAACUACCUGGCAGAUCUGAAAAAAUACCUUGAUCUUCAGAGCCAUUUCAUAAUAGCUUCCAAAGCUGCCAUUUGACAUUUGCAAAGUACCUAAUUCUUCAAGCAAAUGAAAAUGACAUUGAAUUGGCCUAUAACUUUCCCUAACUCUAAUCAUAAAAGUGAGGUAGGCUGAGAUGAAAGAAUAAAAUAGCCCAAAGUCACUCUAGUGAGGUUAAGUCCUGAACUUAAUCAUUGCACUGCCUGCCACUGACUUAUUUGUGGUAAAGAUACCAGAAUAAGACUGACCAUCAGAAGGCUACUGAUCCCUAUACACCAGGAGUGUCAAAUUUGUGGCCUAUGGGCCAGAUGUGUCAUGCGCUGGCGAUGUCCACCCCCAUUUUAGCGAAGGGGAAAGGAAAUUGGUGCUUAAAAAGUAUGAAAAAUAAUAAAUAAAAUAUCUCUUCUGCAUCCAUGAACAAGAGGGUGGUAUCAGUCAAUUUGGGAAAUACCAUAGUCCUCAGAACUACAAAAAAUAGUUUUAAAAAAGGAAGUUGUACUCACUGAGGUUGAACAAGCUCAUUUAGGGGAUAGGGAAAGGAAAUAAAAAGAACAGAAGGACCUAGAAAUAUGGCAAGGCUAGCGGCAUGGCUAGCAGUGAGAACACUCAAACUACAACAUUUUAUUGCAAGGAGUCACUUGUACCCUACAACUUAGCCAUAUGUGGCUUGGAAUCUCCUAAUUGUUGGAUGCAUUAAAAUAUUUCAGAGUAUGAUGAUGAGAUGGGAAACUUAAUCACUGCCAUGUGUAGACUUCUUUCAGAAACAUGCAUUAUAUAAUUUAGUGUGACUUACUUUCAGGAGUUAGUUCAGCAUUGAUGAUACAAUGAUAUUGGAAUGACUCUAAAGGUUGAAAUACAUUCAUGCUGACAUUAAAAAGAAAAAAAUAGGCAAACCUUUUGUAAAUGUUUCAUGAAAUCAUCCUUGGCUCCUUCUCAGGCCAUUCUUUUUUAAAAUAAAAAAAGAUGAUGCUUCUGUAAGCAAAAUAUGUAAGCUGCUUACAGGGCUGGCAGUGCUGUUCUUAAAAUGGCGAGCUUUUCUUCCCUGAAAAAAACAAAUGUUGUGAAAGUGCAUUUGAUUAAUGCCAGACUGCUGAUACCUCUAAUAUUCUUCAUAUGGUAGAGAAGAAUUUGUGAUCCUGCUGUCAGGACUGCAGAACUGAAUUUGUUAGGCUCAUGUAGGUAAAUAUAUAAAUGUUUCCUUUCUUCUUUUGGGGAUUAGGGAUUGAUUGAUUUUUUUAAGGUUGGUUUUUCAAAUCAUGAAACAAUAAGACUCACAGGCUGUGUUCUAAUAAGCUAUUAAAUACAGAGAUUUAACCCCAAAGGAAGAUGGAAAAUUCUGUAGAUUCAGUUAAAUAUUUCAUUUUGAGAUAUUUCCUUCAAGUGUACUUUAGUUUGCUGGCUACAUACUAGUUUUAAGAAUCAGACAUGAUCUUAGAAGGUUUGACAUUUCUUUCAAGGUCUUGCAGCCUUGUGUGUCCUCAAUGCUCUUUUCCAUUUUGUUAUUUUGCUUACAGAAUAAUUGGCUCAUGGAGCUGUGUUAUGAGCCUUAUGUCUAUCUUCAUCUUAAUUUAUAAAUUCUUCAGUUUCUUUUGUACUUCCACUGGAGUAAAUUUUUACAAAACUAUUAUGUUAACACUUCAUUGCCCAUUUUU